UUAUGAUCCCUUUAUUAUAAAUUUUAAUAUUUUAUUGUCAAUCUUCAGAAAGUAAUUCAUGACCCUAUUCUUAGUCAGUUUUAUCUUUCUCAUUUUUAGAAGAUAAUUUAUAAACCCAUUCACAGAUCUUUGUUUGUUGAAAAUUUCUCCAAUUUAUUCUUCUAAAAUACUCAUAAAUUGAGUUUUUGAGUUAGGAGUCCAGUUUAGAAGGGUGUCACUUGAUUCGUUGCGUGCUCCUUGUAUUUUGCAGAAAGAACCGACUUCUAGGGUUGAAGAAAACAAGACUAGAUAUAUAUAUCUCGGAUAACUCAUCUGCUCUCUUCUUCUCUUUAUCUAUCUCACUCAGAUUGGAACCAACAUCAGUAUCAGUUUCGUGCUUAGGUUCUUCUAUAUAGUUAGUCUCAGUACUAACUUGCUCUUUUAAGUUCACAUUUUAGCUAGCAUCAGUACUAGCCUCUCUCACAUAGUCUUGAUAUAGAUUCC
rnacentral:lncRNA from 1 species